rnacentral:lncRNA from 1 species
GGAAAAUCUUUGCUUACCAAAGAAUUCAUCUGAAAGAUGUUUGCGUAUAGCAGUGACAUUGCUGGCAUUGGCAGAUAUUUACUUAACUGUAACAAUUUUUCUUCAGCAGGCUUGAAUCAGCAUGCAGUAAGUUGGUCAAAUGUGGCUGAACUCCGUGGUCCCUUAACUCUUGAAUAUAUUUCAGAUACCUCUGCUCACUGA